rnacentral:rRNA from 1 species
GUGGGGAAUAUUGGGCAAUGGGCGAAAGCCUGACCCAGUAACGCCGCGUGAAGGAAGAAGGUCUUCGGAUCGUAAACUUCUAUCCUUGGUGAAGAUAAUGACGGUAGCCGAGAAGGAAGCCCCGGCUAACUACGUGCCAGCAGCCGCGGUAAUACGUAGGGGGCAAGCGUUGUCCGGAAUGAUUGGGCGUAAAGGGCGCGUAGGCGGCCUGGUAAGUCUGGAGUGAAAGUCCUGCUUUUAAGGUGGGAAUUGCUUUGGAUACUGUCGGGCUUGAGUGCAGGAGAGGUAAGUGGAAUUCCCGGUGUAGCGGUGAAAUGCGUAGAGAUCGGGAGGAACACCAGUGGCGAAGGCGACUUACUGGACUGUAACUGACGCUGAGGCGCGAAAGUGUGGGGAGCAAACAGGAUUAGAAACCCUGGUAGUCC